UGAUGUACACUACGUAUACAAGGCCAUGGUACAUGCUUUGCCCCUACUUUAUACAUAUUCUGUCCCUGACAUGUCAGCGAACCACCAUAAAUUUCUCUCUCUGCUCACGCAAUAGUAGUUUUUGAAUUUCUCUCUCUCUCUACUCACGCUGCAACAGUUUUUGAACAUAAUACCAGCUAUUCGAAGGAUUAAUCAUGAAGAAGAGAAGAAAGAAGUCUCUACAAGUGCUCGAUCAUCCCCUCGCAUCUAGUCUAUCAUCCCCUGUCGCCACUCCCAGUGUUUGAUCAUUCCCCUAUCACCUUUGAUGAAAGAAGACAAUGGCUAGAAAAUUUUAUGUUGUUUUUGAGGGGUAUAAUCGAGGAAUAUACCAGAUUUGGCUGGAAUGCAGAGCGCAAGUGACUGGGUAUCUAAGAGUUGUAUUUCAAUCAUAUCAUUCUUUAACUAAAGCAGAACACGAGUGGCAUGCCUUUCAAUCAAGAAGCAACAUUUGCAAGGAAGGAAAAUCAUCACAAGGGAAUAACUUCCCUAAAUUUACUGAGUUUUUGGGAACGAGCCCUAGAUGUUUAGAAGAGAUUCUUUCAUAUGGAAAGAAACCCUCUAAACAUGUUGUGUGUGGAGGGACCUCUCUGCUUCUUGCCAUGUUUUUCUUAUUCUUUAGAAUCAUAAUUGGAUACUGUAUUCCCUACUAAAUCUUCUAUGUAACGCUUGACGAUUUAAGUUUAUGAAUGAGUAUCUUAUUUCAA